rnacentral:lncRNA from 1 species
GGGUCAGCGCGGGGCCACCAUCCAGCCCCUUGGGGCCCGCCCCAAGCAGCUGUCGAGGACGCACUCAGCCUGCGCAGCCAUGGCCUCGGCAGGGGCGGAGAGGCGGCCGGGGGUCCAGGAGGCGACGGUCGUGGGGCAGGGACAGCUCACGGAGGAGCCCGGCAGCGCUCAGACCUCCGAGUGUCCAGUGGCGGGAGACCAGUUCCUGGUGCCUGCCCAUGAGGCCCGCGGAACCCAGAGUGAAGACCAGCGCCCAGCAGGCGCAGCUUCGGAGUCGGAGCUCCAGGAGGAAGGACCCAAGCUGGGGGAGGAGCGGCCCAAGCCGCAUGCCGGGGCGCUAGAGGAGAGAGGCCCCAGGCCCGUGGUCUCCAUUGUGAGGCCCCGUCAUGGUCCAAAGAGAAAGCCUGUCAAGUCUCUCAGCCUCCCGGGCCUUCGUGCCCAUCUUAAGGCUGAAGCUGAGCUGCCACCCAAGCUGCCGCUGCAGGAGGAGGAGCCAGAGGACAGCCAGAGUGAGCCCUCACCAUCUGCCAAACAGCACAAAAAAGCCAAGAAGCGCAAGAGCCUGGGGGCUCCCGUGCUCCACGCUGUGGCCAGCAUGGUGUCUGCACCCUUAGAGACAUUGAGGCUGGAGCGUGAGUGGCAGUCCCUGGACUGUUCCUUCUCCCCCUGCCUGUGGGGCCCGACAUGGCACAACCUGGCGCUCUAGCCUCUGCCCUGCCCUGGGUCUUUGCAGGAAAGGCCCAGCGCCUGCGGCCGCUGUACCAGUACGUCAACUAUUGCAACCCUGAGCUGAACCAGGCAGGGAAGGGGGACGGGGAGGCUGAGGUGGAGGCAGAGGCAGAGCUGGCCCCGGUUCCCGAGGAGGGAGGUGUGGAGCAACUGCAGGCCUUGCUGCCCUUGGCAGGUGAGCUGGGCCCAGGCCUCGCUUUGCCCUGUCCCAGUCCACUAGUGACCCCCACCCAUGCCCUGGCUCCCCUCGGAGAGGAGGCUGGAGAGGAGCCUGGGGGCUUGCCCAGCUUGGGGGUGAGUGACCACAAGGCCGAGGUGGAUAAGUCAACCCAGGUGGACAUCGACAAGAUGCUGAGUGUCUGCACUGCUCCACUUGUCCCCCCGCUCUCUCCUCAGUACAAGUGACUGUCCCGCCCCACUGGUGGCUCCCCUCCUUCCACGCCUGAAUUUGGCUUCAGGCUUCCUGUGGGCCUAGGCCCUCUGGUGGCGGGGGCAAAUUUGGCACCUGCCCCCACUUGGGACUUUGGUCUUGCUGAAAAUAAAUAUUUUUCUUUUUCAA